rnacentral:rRNA from 1 species
UACUUAGGGGGCGAGCGUUGUCCUGAAUUAUUGGGCGUAAAGAGCUCGUAGGCGGUUUGUCGCGUCGACUGUGAAAACUGGGGGCUUAACUCUCAGCUUGCAGUUGAUACGGGCAGACUUGAGUUCGGUAGGGGAGACUGGAAUUCCUGGUGUAGCGGUGAAAUGCGCAGAUAUCAGGAGGAACACCGGUGGCGAAGGCGGGUCUCUGGGCCGAUACUGACGCUGAGGAGCGAAAGCGUGGGGAGCGAACAGG